rnacentral:rRNA from 1 species
UACAGAGGUGGCAAGCGUUGUUCGGAAUUACUGGGCGUAAAGGGCGCGUAGGCGGCCAUCUAAGUCAGACGUGAAAUCCCCCGGCUUAACCUGGGAACUGCGUCUGAUACUGGACGGCUGGAGUUUGGGAGAGGGAUGUAGAAUUCCAGGUGUAGCGGUGAAAUGCGUAGAUAUCUGGAGGAACACCGGUGGCGAAGGCGGCAUCCUGGACCGACACUGACACUGAGGAGCGAAAGCUAGGGUAGCAAACGGG